GGAGAGGUGCUAGAGUGGUCGAAUAGGACACGGUGCUAACGUGUUGUCCUCGCAAGGGGACCCAGGGUUCGAAUCCCUGCCUCUCCG
rnacentral:tRNA from 1 species